GAUGAACGCUGGCGGCGUGCCUAAUACAUGCAAGUCGAGCGAACAGACGAGGAGCUUGCUCCUCUGACGUUAGCGGCGGACGGGUGAGUAACACGUGGAUAACCUACCUAUAAGACUGGGAUAACUUCGGGAAACCGGAGCUAAUACCGGAUAAUAUAUUGAACCGCAUGGUUCAAUAGUGAAAGACGGUUUUGCUGUCACUUAUAGAUGUAUCCGCGCCGCAUUAGCUAGUUGGUAAGGUAACGGCUUACCAAGGCGACGAUGCGUAGCCGACCUGGGAGGGUGAUCGGCCACACUGGAACUGAGACACGGUCCAGACUCCUACGGGAGGCAGCAGUAGGGAAUCUUCCGCAAUGGGCGAAAGCCUGACGGAGCAACGCCGCGUGAGUGAUGAAGGUCUUCGGAUCGUAAAACUCUGUUAUUAGGGAAGAACAAAUGUGUAAGUAACUAUGCACGUCUUGACGGUACCUAAUCAGAAAGCCACGGCUAACUACGUG
rnacentral:rRNA from 1 species